UACGUAGGUGGCAAGCGUUGUCCGGAUUUAUUGGGCGUAAAGAGCGUGUAGGCGGCCGCACAGGUCCGUUGUGAAAACUGGAGGCUUAACCUUCAGACGUCGAUGGAAACCGUGCGGCUAGAGUCCGGAAGAGGAGAGUGGAAUUCCUGGUGUAGCGGUGAAAUGCGCAGAUAUCAGGAAGAACACCCGUGGCUAAGGCGGCUCUCUAGUACGGUACUGACGCUGAGACGCGAAAGCGUGGGGAGCGAACAGG
rnacentral:rRNA from 1 species